GCGUAAGUGGCGGAAUUGGUAGACGCGCAAGACUAAGGAUCUUGUGGAUUAUUCUGUGGGGGUUCAAGUCCCCCCUUACGCA
rnacentral:tRNA from 1 species